GGCGAAUGACAAAGACAUAAUCAUUUUGAAAAUUGUGAUCUGUGAUCAUGAAUUGUAAUAUUCAAAAUGCAUUGCUAACAAAAUUGCAUAUGUUAGUUUAUUGGAAAGAACAUUACAAAGGGUGAAAAUCCCAUGUGUCAUGUGUAUGUUUUGUGUACAGUGUGCAUUUCAUGAUUCACAUUCAUUGACAAUUGAAUGUAAAGCGAAUGGUAAACUUCAUUUAAACAUAAAUAUGUUGUUGAAAACUUAUAUCGAACAAAUACCAUGAGGGAAAUGUGAAAAGGAUUUUGAAAAGAAAAUUAAAAGAGCUUACAAUUGCUGGAUUGAUAAGCAAACAAAACACACAUGUGUAUGUGCAAGAUUGUUGUCAUGUUGUGCAAUUCAUGCAAACUAACAUUGCUUUGGUUUUUGUGUAAUUUUGUCAGCUUUGGAAUUGAGAAUGAUUUUUUUGAGUGUGAAUGGAUUGUUGUUUGUUAACAAAGGAAUGCACUUUCAAAAGCAUUGUUUGAUUUGUCAAUCAAGUUUGUGGCGUGUGUUGUGUGUCAAAUUUAAUUACAUAAUUCACAAACACAUGAGUUUGAGCUAUUAACGCAAUUCUUGUUUUGUUUGACCCGUCUU
rnacentral:rRNA from 1 species